UACCUCAGUAACGGCGAGUGAAGCGGUAACAGCUCAAAUUUGAAAUCUGGGUCUUUCAGGCUCCGAGUUGUAAUUUGUAGAAGAUGCUUCGGGUGCGGCUCCGGUCUAAGUUCCUUGGAACAGGACGUCAUAGAGGGUGAGAAUCCCGUAUGUGAUCGGCCGCUUGCGCCCAUGUGAAGCUCUUUCGACGAGUCGAGUUGUUUGGGAAUGCAGCUCCAAAUGGGUGGUAUAUUUCAUCUAAAGCUAAAUAUUGGCCAGAGACCGAUAGCGCACAAGUAGAGUGAUCGAAAGAUGAAAAGCACUUUGGAAAGAGAGUUAAACAGUACGUGAAAUUGUUGAAAGGGAAGCGCUUGCAACCAGACUUGCGUGUUGUUGAUCAUCCGGGGUUCUCCCCGGUGCACUCGACCUCACUCAGGCCAGCAUCGGUUUCGGUGGUUGGAUAAAGGCCUUGGGAAUGUAGCUCCUCUCGGGGAGUGUUAUAGCCCUCGGUGCAAUGCAGCCUACCGGGACCGAGGACCGCGCUUCGGCUAGGAUGCUGGCGUAAUGGUUGUAAGCGACCCGUCUUGAAACACGGACCAAGGAGUCUAACAUCUAUGCGAGUGUUUGGGUGUCAAACCCAUACGCGUAAUGAAAGUGAACGGAGGUGAGAACCCUUAAGGGUGCAUCAUCGACCGAUCCUGAUGUCUUCGGAUGGAUUUGAGUAAGAGCAUAGCUGUUGGGACCCGAAAGAUGGUGAACUAUGCCUGAAUAGGGUGAAGCCAGAGGAAACUCUGGUGGAGGCUCGCAGCGGUUCUGACGUGCAAAUCGAUCGUCAAAUUUGGGUAUAGGGGCGAAAGACUAAUCGAACCAUCUAGUAGCUGG
rnacentral:rRNA from 1 species